rnacentral:rRNA from 1 species
CCUACGGGGGGCUGCAGUGGGGAAUAUUGGACAAUGGGGGCAACCCUGAUCCAGCCAUGCCGCGUGUGUGAAGAAGGCCCUCGGGUUGUAAAGCACUUUCAGUGAGGAAGAACGCCUGGUGGUUAAUACCCAUCAGGAAAGACAUCUCUCACAGAAGAAGCACCGGCUAACUCCGUGCCAGCAGCCGCGGUAAUACGGAGGGUGCGAGCGUUAAUCGGAAUUACUGGGCGUAAAGCGCGCGUAGGUGGCUUGAUAAGCCGGUUGUGAAAGCCCCGGGCUCAACCUGGGAACGGCAUCCGGAACUGUCAAGCUAGAGUGCAGGAGAGGAAGGUAGAAUUCCCGGUGUAGCGGUGAAAUGCGUAGAGAUCGGGAGGAAUACCAGUGGCGAAGGCGGCCUUCUGGACUGACACUGACACUGAGGUGCGAAAGCGUGGGUAGCAAACAGGAUUAGAUACCCCGGUAGUC